UGGGUAACCUGCCUCAAAGAGGGGAAUAGCCUCCCGAAAGGGAGAUUAAUACCGCAUAAUAUGUUUAGGUCGCAUGACUUUAACAUCAAAGGAUUUCUUUUAGAAAUUCCACUUUGAGAUGGACCCGCGGCGCAUUAGCUAGUUGGUGAGGUAACGGCUCACCAAGGCAACGAUGCGUAGCCGACCUGAGAGGGUGAUCGGCCACAUUGGGACUGAGACACGGCCCAGACUCCGUAGGGAG
rnacentral:rRNA from 1 species